AGUGAACGCUGGCGGUGGCCUAACACAUGCAAGUCGAACGGCAGCACAGUAAGAGCUUGCUCUUACGGGUGGCGAGUGGCGGACGGGUGAGGAAUACAUCGGAAUCUACUUUUUCGUGGGGGAUAACGUAGGGAAACUUACGCUAAUACCGCAUACGACCUACGGGUGAAAGCCGGGGAUCUUCGGACCUUGCGCGAUUGAAUGAGCCGAUGUCGGAUUAGCUAGUUGGCGGGGUAAAGGCCCACCAAGGCGACGAUCCGUAGCUGGUCUGAGAGGAUGAUCAGCCACACUGGAACUGAGACACGGUCCAGACUCCUACGGGAGGCAGCAGUGGGGAAUAUUGGACAAUGGGCGCAAGCCUGAUCCAGCCAUACCGCGUGGGUGAAGAAGGCCUUCGGGUUGUAAGGCCCUUUUGUUGGGAAAGAAAAGCAGCAGGUUAAUACCCCGCUGUUCUGACGGUACCCAAAGAAUAAGCACCGGCUAACUUCGUG
rnacentral:rRNA from 1 species